UUUUCUCAAAUUCAGCAAGAGUUGGAGGCUUAGAUGGAGUAUUGAUACCUUGGGCAAGAAGAUUAAACACGGAAACUUGUGGAGAUUGCAAGGGUAAGAGAGAAAGGGAGCUCAAAAAGCUGCUGGAAAAUUUUAAUAGCAAACGAAGAUGGAAGAUAGGUCUUGGAUGCAUGCAGAUAAAAGAUCUUUAGCUUAUGAGUUAGGGGUGGGAAGUUUCUUGAAGUUUGCUUUAGAAAAUGUGAAAAAUCC